AUUGAACGCUGGCGGCAGGCCUAACACAUGCAAGUCGAGCGGAUGAAGGGAGCUUGCUCCUGGAUUCAGCGGCGGACGGGUGAGUAAUGCCUAGGAAUCUGCCUGGUAGUGGGGGAUAACGUCCGGAAACGGGCGCUAAUACCGCAUACGUCCUGAGGGAGAAAGUGGGGGAUCUUCGGACCUCACGCUAUCAGAUGAGCCUAGGUCGGAUUAGCUAGUUGGUGGGGUAAAGGCCUACCAAGGCGACGAUCCGUAACUGGUCUGAGAGGAUGAUCAGUUACACUGGAACUGAGACACGGUCCAGACUCCUACGGGAGGCAGCAGUGGGGAAUAUUGGACAAUGGGCGAAAGCCUGAUCCAGCCAUGCCGCGUGUGUGAAGAAGGUCUUCGGAUUGUAAAGCACUUUAAGUUGGGAGGAAGGGCAGUAAGUUAAUACCUUGCUGUUUUGACGGUACCAACAGAAUAAGCACCGGCUAACUUCGUG
rnacentral:rRNA from 1 species